ensembl:lncRNA
GCAGAUUCAUUCUUCACAUCUGACACCCAGUGCUGCCCAGUGGAAACUUUCCCUAAACUCACCUCCCAGCAUCAGCAGUUGCCCCUCCCCAUUGUGCCUUUCCCCAUCUAUUAUCACAGUAGAUAUAAUUUUACAUUUUAAAUACUUUAUGUUUUAAUUAUAUUUAAAAGAUAUUUGAUAUAGGCAUUAACUAAGACAUUGUAUUUAAUCUUAUUUAAUUACCAUACUUAAUAAAUGUCAUUAUAUGUUUUAAUUAUUUACUCUGUUUCCCCAGAAGCUAACACCAUGCCAACCAUUUAAGAGGUCCCCAAUAAAUAUUCCUGAAUAAAGAAAUGAGUAAGUAAAUGAUAGACAUAUCAAUCAAGACAAAAUGAUAUAAAUUCCUAAUGGUUAAAAAUGCAAGUUUUGAGUCAGAUUUCUGGCUUCACAUUCUUCCUCAACACCUACUAGCUGAAAAAAACUUGAGAACAGUACAGAGAUUAAAGUCACUUAAUCAAUAGGAGAUUGUUAGUAAGGAACUAGUGAGGGUUAAUUUUACGUGUCAGCUUGGCUAGUCUACGGUACCCAACUGUUUGGUCAAACACCAGUCUGCAUGUUGCAUCAAAGGUGUUUUUUACAUGCAAUUAACAUUUAAAUCAGUAACCUCUGAGUAAAGCAGAUCACCCUCCAUAAGGUGGGUGGAACUCAUUCAAUCACUCAAAGACCUUAAGAGGAACUUCAAAGCGGAAGAAAUUCCCAAAAUUGCAACACAGAAACACUGCCUGAGUUCCCAACCUGCUGCCUUGAGGCAUUCAGACUCAAGACUGCAGUGUCAACUCUUACCUGAAUUUCAAAUUUCAGACUUUCCAGUCCCUACAAUCACGUGAGCCAAUUCCUAAAAAUAACUUUAUUUCUAUCUCUCUUCCUCCUUCCCACCCCUCCCUCUUUGUCUCUCUCUCUGCCUCUCUUUCUGUCUCUAUUUUUUAAUAUAUUAUAUAUACAACACAGAUUAUAUGAUAUAGAAUCACAUCUAAUAUAACAAUAUAUAAAUACAUAAUUUAUAUGUGUGUGUGUGUGUUCUGUCUUUCUGGAAAACCGUACCUAAUAUAGGUCUAUACCAGAAAACCCAAGAGAGGCCAAUAGCCCUGUCUUACACAAAAAAAGAGAAGAUAGAAUCAGGCUCCUGGGACCAGGACCAGUUACGAAGCAAGGGUCUGAGCAGCAGGACUUGUACUUCUUGUUCUAAAGCUUUGCCACCGAUGUAGCUCUGCUAUUCCUUCAUGUCUCUGUCAUUCUCCAGUAGCUAGAGAUUGACUCUCCAUAUGCUAGUCUGUUUAUCUAUUCCCUGUCUUGUAUCUUCUGCUUACUCAUUAGUUUGUGACUCUUUAUCUUCCUCAUUAUUUCUGCUUCCUCAUGACUUUGGUUUGUUGCAAUCCUCAAGGCGCCAAUGCUAUUCCGUGGCUUUUCUCUAAGUAGUCUUUCAGUUUCAGCUCCAGGGCUGACUUCUUCCCUGUCAUUACAAUUCACAUAUCACAUUCCUGAUAGAGAGAACUGAGUUAGCACAGUUCAUCUUUUGAGGCCAGUUGAUGGUAUAGGGCUCUGGCCAGGUUGGGAAUCAGCUGCCUUUGGGACAAGUACCUAUUUCUGGAAUAAUGAACUACAGUUGGGGACAAGAGCCAUGUGAUGCUAGCACAGCCAUCUGAGACUGUUUCUUGCAGAGCAACUAUAAAAAUUUUUCCCUUGGAGGAUCCUUAAAAUAUUAAAAAUAGAACUACCAUAUGACCAGCAAUUUCUCUCCUGGGAAUAUACCCAAAGGAAAUGAAAACACUAACCUAAAAAGAUAUCUUCACUCCCCCAUGUUCAUAGCAACAUUAUUUACAAUAGCCAAGGAUGGAAACAAAGUGUACAUCAAAUGGAUGAAUGGAUAAAGAAGUAACAAAUGGAAUAUUAUUCAGCUAUAAAAAGGAGGAAAUCUUACCAUGUGUUGCAACAUGAAUGGACCUUGAAGAUUUUGUGCUAAGUAAGACAGAGAAAGACAAAUAAUAUAUGAUCUCACUUACAUGCGAAAUCUAAAAGAAAAAAAGGUCAAAUUUAUAGGAAAAGAAGAUCAGACGUUUUUAACCAGAAGCAUAGGGCGUGGGGAGGAGAAAUGGAGGAAGACGGUCAAAAGGCACAAACUUCCACUUCUAAGUAAGUAUUAGAGAGGCAAUAUACAAUAUGAUGGCUAUAUUAACACCGUUGUUUGACGUACAGGAAAGCUAUUUAGAGAGUAAAUCCUGAGAGCUCUCAUCUCUAGAAAAAUAUUUUAUCCUUUUUUGUCUUUCUUUUCUUUUUUAUUGUAUCUAUAUGAGAAGAUGGAUAUUAGCUGAAUUUAUUGUGGCAAUCCUUUCAAAAUAUAUGUAAGUCAAACUAUGAUGCUAUAUACCUUAAACUUAUACAAUGAUACAUGUCAUUUAUUGCUCAGUAAAACUACAGAGGGUGGGGGAAGAACACACAACUUCAGGAAAGGCAAAGAUAAAACAUUUUAAAUCACUGUGAUGCAUUUGGAUGGGCUGAAGGAGGUGUAAGAUGGCUGUCCUGAGACAGUGCCACAUAGGCUUUCUCUUCUGCAGACAAUUUGGCUUUAAAUCAUUAGGACUCUUACUGCUUUAGAAAACAGUUUAUAUAUUCCUUAAAAAUGUUAAACUUAGUGUCGCCACAAGAGCCCAUAUUCCACUCCUAGAUACACCCAAGGGAAAUGAACACAUUUGUCCAUAUCAAAACUUGCACAUGAAUGUUCAGUGCAGCAUUUUUCAUAAUAGCCAAAAAGUGGAACGAAUUCAAAUGUCCAUCAAUUAAUGAAUGAAAAACUAAAAUGUGGCAUAUCUAUGCAAUGGAAUAUUAUUUAGAAAUGAAAAGCAAUGAAGUACAGAAACAUGCUAUAAUGCUAAUGAACCUUAAAAACUCAGGCUAAGUGAAAGAAGUCACUCACAGAAGACCAUUCGAUUAUGUGAAAUCUCCAGAACAGGUAGAGCUAUCAUGACAGAAAACAGAUUAGUUUUCAUCUAGGACUGGGCAAAUGAUGCAGAGAAAUGGGAACUGACUACCUAUGGGUAUAAUGUUUCUUUUGUAAUAAUGAAAAUAUUCAAAAACGCAUUGUGGGUGAUGGUUCAAAAUUCUGUGAAUAUACAAAAUCCACUGAAUUUUACAAUUUAAAUUGGUGAAUCAUGGGAGUUCUCUUGUGGCAUAGUGGGUUAAGGAUCCAGCGUUGUCACUGCAGUGGCUUGAACUGCUGCGGUGGUGCGGGUUUGAUCGCUGUCCUGGGAGUUUCCACAUGUCUCAUGUGUGGCCAUAAGUAAACAAAUAAAUACAUAAAUAAUUGGCAAAUCACAUAGCAUGCAAAUUAUAUCUCAAUAAAAUUGUUUACAAAAUAAAUUGAAGUUUCCCUUAGAAGGAGCUGUGAGUACCUGAUGACAUGCCUAUAAAAGAGGAAAACGGCAUUGGCAGAAAAGGGAACAGUCACAGUAGGAUGACUAGGGUAGGAGCUCUCAGUGGCCCUCAAGUAGGUAGCAUUUGGCAUCAUCAAUGGCUGCAGCACAGACCACUUCUGAGCUGUACUCGGUCACUAUCAAGGUCAAAGAAGACCUAGGAGUUCCCUUUGUAACUCGGUGGGUUACUAAUGACUAGUAUCCAUGAGGACUUGGGUCCAAACCCUGGCCCUGCUCAGUGGGUUAAGGAUCCAGCAUUGCCGUGAGCUGUGGUGUAGGUCACGGAUACAGCUCAGAUCCCUCGCUGUUGCACCUGUGUUGUAGGCUGGCAGCUGCAGCUCCAAUUCGACCCCUAGCCUGGGAACUUCCAUAGGCCAUGGGUGUGCCCCACCCCCCAAAAAAAGACAAAAGGUCAAAGAAGACUUGGAAGUUACAAAAAUUAGAUUGAGUCAGAGAUGAUGACAUUAUUCAUACUGUUGUUGUGAACAGUAUUAACAGUGUUCAUCGCGUUCAUAAUACUGUCAUGAGCCCUAUAUCGUACUUUCACUAGAUGGGAGAGCCUUCAGAAAUAUUUACAAUCUUUGGAGGAGACAGGGUUUGACUAGGAAUAGUCCAAAUUCCAGUGCAAUAUUCAGAUACACCAUAGACUACCUGCCCCCUCUUCAUUUCAGCUCCUUGAUACUGUGGGAAAUCACAGUAAGACUGUUAAAUGAUCUCAGUCAGAUCAGUGCAGACCCUUAAAGAUCACUCCUCACUUAGAAAUACCGCUGAACAGAACUGUGAUGAGGGCAUCCCUGAUUAGACAGUUUCUAGCUAGUGGGCUGGCAUGCAGCUGUACUACCUAACACAGUAGCCACUCACUAUAAGUGGAUAUUUCCACUUAAACGGACUUAAGUUAAAUUGUAAAUUGAGUUCUCAGUCAUAUUAGCCACAUUUCAAAUACUCAGUAGCCACAUGUAGCAAACAGCUAUUACACUGGACAGUCCAGAUAGAGAGUCUCAAGAAAAACAAGGUUUGAAUCCCUUCCCUCAGAUACUGAAUUUUUAAAAAUUGACCCAUUUCCUAGAAAGUAAAGUGAAUACACCAUAAAAUAUGGCCAAAACACCAGAGCAUGAAAUCGCCUUUGCAGUGCCAAGUGCAGAGCCAUCAUAUCGUGAGAUAGGCAUGCCCAGAUACUGGGGCACAAGGUGGGUAGGUGAUUCAGCAAAGCCUUUAGAGAAACCCCAAAUAUCAGAAAGUUGGUGUUUUCCAGAGAAAUCCUAUACAGGCCUCUGAGAAAGAGUUCUGAAAGCUGACUGAAACAAUCAGCUACCAUGAGGAAAGACAAGUUUGAGGGAGGAAAAUCAUAGAAUUUGAUAGAGUUUACAAGCCCUUCUCUCGAAGGCAGCCAUGUUCUCACACAGCCCUGAGGAUCCAUACCCCAGGUGUCUGGAUACUGAGACACAUAACCAUUCAAGCAGCACCCAGAAAAAAGGCUAGAAAUAUUAUGGGAAGCAGUAUGAGGAGGAGGACUUAAUAAGUAACUGGAAGUUGGAGAGCAUCUGGGCCAAUCAAUGAUCAGCAAUGUCAGUUACAAGGACAGUUACUCCAGGACCCUGCCCCUCUCAACCAGGUCAGGAGAGACCAGGACGAGAUGGAGCUCUACAGGUCCUCGUGUAUUUUUUGUUGUUUAUUCAACAGUAUUAUUAAUCACCCCCUUUUACUUUUUUAACCUUCUCAUAAUGGGAAAACACCUAAUUAAUAUCAUCAUGGACUCUUAGAAUAUUUAUUUGAACCUUUUCAUUCUAAGGUUUAUCAGUCAAGUUCUUUUAACUUAUUGGGUUGGAAACUGAGUGGCCGAUGGCAGAGCUUAUAAUUAGUGUGGACAUAUCUCCCGGUUUGCCUGCAUGGCUCUGGUUUAUGUUGCUGCUCUGAAAUAAUUAUUAUCAGAGUUCCCCUUUGCUCACAGAAGUCCUAGUUUGGACCAUAAAUAUAUAGUUCCCUACCCAUAAUUCUAUUCUCUAAAUGUGUUCCAACGUGCCAAAGGCAAAAUGCGUUGUUUUUCAGCGGCUCGUGGUUUUAGCGCCACUUUCCAUCUCAGCAAAUGUCACCUUGGGUGGAAGACAUUACUUCACCAAAUUGGCAUUGCUGACCACUUUCAAAACUAUUUCAUUCUGAUGCCUUUUUUAACCUCUCUGUACUUCUCAGAUUCAGUUUUAGUGUCAGUUUUCCUUUGCACAGCCUUCUUUCUGUCCUUCACUCUUCAAGAAUGUUUUUCCUCUGGCUUUCUAUUUUCCUACCUCUGUUGGAAAAGACCUCCGUUGUCUAUUUUUCUACAUUUACUAUAAUGUGUGCCUUCUAUUUGUGGUUUCCUUUCUUCCCACAGUCAAUUUGUCUGUCAUGUUUUAAAUGACGAUUUUUUUAGUAAACGAUAGCACUUCACAAACAUCCACUGGUAGAAUGUGCAAUACCUGAUAACUAAACUUUUUAUUCUACCUCGACUUUAUUAUAUGGAACUUUAAUCCGAUUGGUUAAAUUUUCUAGUAUCUUUAAAACAGUCUGAAAAGCAAGAGUCUGCUGGUUAAAUGGUUACCAACCAGCCUUAUGGAACUAGGGGUGGGGGGUAGGGGCAGGCCUUGAAGCAUUGCUGAUUUCCAUGGUGUAAAAACCCACACCAUGGAUGACUUCCAGCUAUAGAUAUACCUCAACCAAUUUGUGAAAAUUUAAUAACUGGCCCUCAUGAGCC